GCCUUUUUUUUUUUUUUUUUUUUUUUUGAGUCUUGAUUGUGUGGACAUCAUUGGGAAUGGAGGAAACCAAGUGACUGGAUGGCUGGUGCUUGUUGAAGUGUCCAAGGGACAUGGCAAUUAUAGGGUGUCACGGCUGAUGCGUGUCUGCGGAUCUUCACAGCACGGUUCCUGGGAAGGCGGAGCUGCCAGCUUCUCCCUGAAUAACUGGGAGAUGAAACAGGAAGCCCUAUGACACACUUGAUCGAAAAUGACAGACACAGGAGAAUCAGGACUCGGCCCCCUCCAGCACCUCCACCUGCUGCCUACCGAGGGACAGCCAGAGUGUAUACAGAUCGAAGGCCGACAGAGUGUCCUGGUGUGCAAGAACUGUCCACCCAGCCCAUUGUCCAAGAUUAUCUGGUGAUGACAUAGAACAACACUCCGCAGCAGGACAGGGAAGUCCAGGCUUCCAUUCCUGCCCUAUGGCUCACUAAAGGUGGGACUGAGUGGCUUCCAGACC